GUGGGGAAUCUUAGACAAUGGGCGCAAGCCUGAUCUAGCCAUGCCGCGUGAGCGAUGAAGGCCUUAGGGUUGUAAAGCUCUUUCGUGGGGGAAGAUAAUGACUGUACCCCAAGAAGAAGCCCCGGCUAACUCCGUGCCAGCAGCCGCGGUAAUACGGAGGGGGCUAGCGUUGUUCGGAAUUACUGGGCGUAAAGCGCACGUAGGCGGACUGGAAAGUCAGGGGUGAAAUCCCGGGGCUCAACCCCGGAACUGCCUUUGAAACUCCCAGUCUUGAGUUCGAGAGAGGUGAGUGGAAUUCCGAGUGUAGAGGUGAAAGUCGUAGAUAUUCGGAGGAACACCAGUGGCGAAGGCGGCUCACUGGCUCGAUACUGACGCUGAGGUGCGAAAGCGUGGGGAGCAAACAGGAUUAGAUACCCGGGUAGUCC
rnacentral:rRNA from 1 species